GGGGGAAAAUCAAGUAAUCAGUGAGAAAUGAAUAGAAUAAAUCGGAUGAAAGUAAGAAUCGUGAUAUGAAAAGGGUGAAAGAUUGAUUGAUUGGUGUUACCUCGUCCAUGGAGAAAAUCGGAAAAUCGAGAUGCGAAUAGAGGAAACCCUAGAGAGUUUGAAAGAGGGAAAGAGACUUUUGUUUGGUGCGGUGAUGUAAGGUAUGAAGUGUGGAGUGUGUGGGUGUUGUUGUUGUUAAAG
rnacentral:lncRNA from 1 species